GAAUUUAAAAAUUUCCGCAAGCA
rnacentral:tRNA from 2 species